rnacentral:rRNA from 1 species
GACGAACGCUGGCGGCGUGCUUAACACAUGCAAGUCGAACGGAAAGACCCUGCUUUUGUGGGGUGCUCGAGUGGCGAACGGGUGAGUAACACGUGAGUAACCUGCCCUUGACUUUGGGAUAACUUCAGGAAACUGGGGCUAAUACCGGAUAGGAGCUCCUGCUGCAUGGUGGGGGUUGGAAAGUUUCGGCGGUUGGGGAUGGACUCGCGGCUUAUCAGCUUGUUGGUGGGGUAGUGGCUUACCAAGGCUUUGACGGGUAGCCGGCCUGAGAGGGUGACCGGCCACAUUGGUCCUACGAUACGGCCCAGACUCCUACGGGAGGCAGCAGUGGGGAAUAUUGCACAAUGGGCGGAAGCCUGAUGCAGCAACGCCGCGUUCGGGAUGACGGCCUUCGGGUUGUAAACCGCUUUCGCCUGUGACGAAGCGUGAGUGACGGUAAUGGGUAAAGAAGCACCGGCUAACUACGUG